rnacentral:rRNA from 1 species
UUAAUGAGAGUUUGAUCCUGGCUCAGGACGAACGCUGGCGGCGUGCCUAAUACAUGCAAGUAGAACGCUGAAGAGAGGAGCUUGCUCUUCUUGGAUGAGUUGCGAACGGGUGAGUAACGCGUAGGUAACCUGCCUUGUAGCGGGGGAUAACUAUUGGAAACGAUAGCUAAUACCGCAUAACAAUGGAUGACACAUGUCAUUUAUUUGAAAGGGGCAAUUGCUCCACUACAAGAUGGACCUGCGUUGUAUUAGCUAGUAGGUGAGGUAACGGCUCACCUAGGCGACGAUACAUAGCCGACCUGAGAGGGUGAUCGGCCACACUGGGACUGAGACACGGCCCAGACUCCUACGGGAGGCAGCAGUAGGGAAUCUUCGGCAAUGGGGGCAACCCUGACCGAGCAACGCCGCGUGAGUGAAGAAGGUUUUCGGAUCGUAAAGCUCUGUUGUAAGUCAAGAACGAGUGUGAGAGUGGAAAGUUCACACUGUGACGGUAGCUUACCAGAAAGGGACGGCUAACUACGUGCCAGCAGCCGCGGUAAUACGUAGGUCCCGAGCGUUGUCCGGAUUUAUUGGGCGUAAAGCGAGCGCAGGCGGUUUGAUAAGUCUGAAGUUAAAGGCUGUGGCUCAACCAUAGUUCGCUUUGGAAACUGUCAAACUUGAGUGCAGAAGGGGAGAGUGGAAUUCCAUGUGUAGCGGUGAAAUGCGUAGAUAUAUGGAGGAACACCGGUGGCGAAAGCGGCUCUCUGGUCUGUAACUGACGCUGAGGCUCGAAAGCGUGGGGAGCGAACAGGAUUAGAUACCCUGGUAGUCCACGCCGUAAACGAUGAGUGCUAGGUGUUGGAUCCUUUCCGGGAUUCAGUGCCGCAGCUAACGCAUUAAGCACUCCGCCUGGGGAGUACGACCGCAAGGUUGAAACUCAAAGGAAUUGACGGGGGCCCGCACAAGCGGUGGAGCAUGUGGUUUAAUUCGAAGCAACGCGAAGAACCUUACCAGGUCUUGACAUCCCGAUGCUAUUUCUAGAGAUAGAAAGUUACUUCGGUACAUCGGUGACAGGUGGUGCAUGGUUGUCGUCAGCUCGUGUCGUGAGAUGUUGGGUUAAGUCCCGCAACGAGCGCAACCCCUAUUGUUAGUUGCCAUCAUUCAGUUGGGCACUCUAGCGAGACUGCCGGUAAUAAACCGGAGGAAGGUGGGGAUGACGUCAAAUCAUCAUGCCCCUUAUGACCUGGGCUACACACGUGCUACAAUGGUUGGUACAACGAGUUGCGAGUCGGUGACGGCAAGCUAAUCUCUUAAAGCCAAUCUCAGUUCGGAUUGUAGGCUGCAACUCGCCUACAUGAAGUCGGAAUCGCUAGUAAUCGCGGAUCAGCACGCCGCGGUGAAUACGUUCCCGGGCCUUGUACACACCGCCCGUCACACCACGAGAGUUUGUAACACCCGAAGUCGGUGAGGUAACCUUUUGGAGCCAGCCGCCUAAGGUGGGAUAGAUGAUU